GACGAACGCUGGCGGCGUGCCUAAUACAUGCAAGUCGAGCGCAGGAAAUCGACGGAACCCUUCGGGGGGAAGUCGAUGGAAUGAGCGGCGGACGGGUGAGUAACACGUAAAGAACCUGCCCUCAGGUCUGGGAUAACCACGAGAAAUCGGGGCUAAUACCGGAUGGGUCAUCGGACCGCAUGGUCCGAGGAUGAAAGGCGCUUCGGCGUCGCCUGGGGAUGGCUUUGCGGUGCAUUAGCUAGUUGGUGGGGUAAUGGCCCACCAAGGCGACGAUGCGUAGCCGACCUGGGAGGGUGAUCGGCCACACUGGGACUGAGACACGGCCCAGACUCCUACGGGAGGCAGCAGUAGGGAAUCUUCCACAAUGGACGAAAGUCUGAUGGAGCAACGCCGCGUGAACGAUGAAGGCCUUCGGGUCGUAAAGUUCUGUUGUAAGGGAAGAACAAGUGCCGCAGGCAAUGGCGGCACCUUGACGGUACCUUGCGAGAAAGCCACGGCUAACUACGUGCCAGCCGCCGCCGUAACAC
rnacentral:rRNA from 1 species